UUAUUCCAAUAAUUACAUAUAUCUAGUUCGACUCCCAUCUUCGAAUCAAUUAUUAAUCCAUUUUUCAGGAAUCCCAUUUUUUGUAAAUUAUUUUGUCCCUUCCACUUUCUCUAUCAUUAUUCCACCCGAGUACAAUAUGAAUGAGCAAAUUAAUUAGGGCAAAUUGUUGCAUAUGCAUAGAAAUAUCAUUAGUUGAUUGAUCUAAAUUCAUAUUGAAUAAAAUCAACUGAAAGUAGAAUAGUUUCUCGUGUUUUUUAUUUAAUUGCACGUGGUAAACAUAAAUCUUAUUCCAAUUUUGAUUUGAAUAACAAGAUUGGUUGACCAAUAUAAAGCAAAUAUUCAUUGGAAGGUAUGUUAGAAAGUGGACAAUAAGGGAAUUUUAGGAAAGAGCCCCUUUUUUUGUUCCUAUUACUUUCUAUUUUCUAUCAUAUAUAGCGUCAUUGUAUAUUUCUAUUCCUUAAGUCAAUUAUCUUAAGCCACACAUACAUUGCUUUGCAUUGAGCUAAAAAAAUAAAAAAAAGGACUAUUCCAAAAAUUAGAAUACCAAAUAAUGGUGGCC
rnacentral:lncRNA from 1 species